rnacentral:rRNA from 1 species
GCGCACCAGGCGAGAAUACUUUACAAUGUGCGAAAGCACGAUAAGGGAACUCUGAGUGCCUCCUAAGGAGGCUGUUCAGGUGUCUAAAAAGCACCUGGAGUAAGGGCUGGGUAAGACCGGUGCCAGCCGCCGCGGUAACACCGGCAGCCCAGGUGGUAGCCACUUUUAUUGGGUCUAAAGCGUCCGUAGCCGGUUGAGUAAGUUCCUUGGGAAAUUUGGCUGCUCAACAGUCAAGCUUCCAGGGAAUACUGCUCGACUUGGGACUGGGAGAGGUCAGAGGUACUCCAGGGGUAGGGGUGAAAUCCAUUAAUCCCUGGGGACCACCGGUAGCGAAGGCGUCUGACCAGACCAGGUCCGACGGUGAGGGACGAAGGCUAGGGGCGCGAACCGGAUUAGAUA